rnacentral:rRNA from 1 species
UACGUAGGGUGCGAGCGUUAAUCGGAAUUACUGGGCGUAAAAGCGUGCGCAGGCGGCGCGUUAAGACAGGUGUGAAAGCCCCGAGCUUAACUUGGGAAUUGCGCUUGUGACUGGCGUGCUGGAGUGUGGCAGAGGGGAGGUGGAAUUCCACGUGUAGCAGUGAAAAUGCGUAGAGAUGUGGAGGGAACACCGAUGGCGAAAGGGCAGCCCUCCCUGGGGCCAGCACUGACGCUCAUGCACGAAAGCGUGGGGAGCAAAACAGG